rnacentral:rRNA from 3 species
UGAAGAGUUUGAUCAUGGCUCAGAUUGAACGCUGGCGGCAGGCCUAACACAUGCAAGUCGAACGGUAACAGGAAGCAGCUUGCUGCUUUGCUGACGAGUGGCGGACGGGUGAGUAAUGUCUGGGAAACUGCCUGAUGGAGGGGGAUAACUACUGGAAACGGUGGCUAAUACCGCAUAACGUCGCAAGACCAAAGAGGGGGACCUUCGGGCCUCUUGCCAUCAGA